ACAAUAUAUUCAAAAAUUACUUAUUUAAAAUGUUUAAUAUUAUAUUGAAAUGCUGCCCCAUUAUACUAUAUAUUUUAAGUGACACAUUUUCUGAAAAAUAAUUCUCUCAUGAUUUUUUAUUGUUUAAUUUUUCUUAGCAUGCUAUUGUCUACAUCUAGAUGUAUUGAACUAAAAGGUAGACACCAGUAAAAAGAAGUGGAGUCAUAUUUCUUACGUCUUAGUACUUCGCUACCUCUUUGUGGUUCAUAAGAGGUGCAGAAACACAAGAGAUCCAUGCAACAUUGUCUUUCAACACUUACACCUUACGAUAAUAUAUUUAUUUUGAUUAAUUUUCAAUAACUCACAUGUUCAAAUGAAGACAAUAUCAAAACUUGAAAUAAUAUAUUUAUUUUGAUUAAUUUUUAGUAACUCACAUGUUCAAAUGAAGACAAUAUCAAAACAUGAAAUUUUAAGCUCAGCCUAACAUUGAUUACAAAGUCAUCAAUCUGAAACAAUCAGAAUUAUUAAGUCACCAUAGUGGCUUAGGCAAUGAUAUGUCUAAAAUGGGGUGUGGCUAAUGAUAUAAUGGCAUAUCUUCACUAAUAUUUGGUAGCAACUGGAUUGCCACAAAAACAUGUGAGGACCCCUUUUCUGUUAUAUUGCCAUUGUUUUACACCGGAAAAAUUACUCUGCUGUUUUCUCAGAGUCAAUCCUGGAGUGACAUGAGUAGCAGAAUGCCAAGUCCAUGAGUCACUUGAUAACUACUGGACAUGCACAUGAGAAUAGAAAUAUUCAUGAGCUUUGGAGAUUGAUGAAGACAUUAUUCUUGGCAAGAGGGUUUUUUAAGUAGAUGGAACUUACAAAUACAGAGAAAGAUGGUAGAAGUGGAUCGAUAUCAGGUAACUUUUAAAAUUCAAUUAUUUUAAAUAGGUAAUAUGGGCAGAUGAUAAAUUAAAAUAAGUAAAAAGAAUGUAGUAAGAAAUAAGUUUUUCUUUCAAUUCUGUGUUCCAGUGCCUGUCAGUAGUAUGAUGGCUUGCAGUGAGAAUUUGCAGAAAUUUAGUCGUUUUUUCAAAAUGGGAAAAAAGAUUUGCUAGUGUUUGAAAGUGUAAUAGAAUUUAAGAAGGAGUGGGAAAUGGCAGUAAAGUGCGUUUGUAUGCAUACCAAGAAAAACUUCUGGACAUCUCAUAUCCAAAAGGAUUUUGCCC
rnacentral:lncRNA from 1 species